AAAAUUUUAGGCUAAUUAAACCAUAAACCUUCAAAGUUUAAAUUAAAAGUUUAAUCUUUUAAAUUUUA
rnacentral:tRNA from 1 species